CGCACUCAGGAGGGUCCGCACAGCUCCGCUCCCUCGCAGGUGGCUCCCGGUGUGGGGAUGGAAAUUAAUGAAGUGCGGCGGGCAGGGUGAGGUUUGUGCUUUCCCCCUGUCUCUGACUGGGCCCGUGACCCUCGGCUGUGAAGAUGUAUGAGGAAGAAUUUUCAAAUGAUGGAAAAUCCUUCCUCACUUACAGCCUCUACAACUUCUGAAGAGGUAUUGAUACUCUUAAAAACUGAGAAGUCUAGCUGCACACAACAGCCAGGAAAAGGGCAUCAAUCCAUUAAAUGAUAAGAGAAAUGAGUCGUGUGUUGUAGGCAGUGAAGUCUCAGCUCAGAGGACGUGAGUGCUCAUUCUGCACCUGCGCCAGAGAUCACCUGUGUUGCUCUGUGUCUCUGUCUCUACCUGAGCACCCUGCUCACCAUUCUCCUCCCACAGCCCGCCCCGUUCCUUUGUCUCCUCGGAGCCACCAACAAUGGGAUCUGCAGGAGUUGGGAAGCCUGGGCCAGAUGGAGCGAACUGCCAGUG